AUGGGGUCGGAUCUGGUGGUGCUAGGUCGGAGCGCCUCCUCUCCUUUCCCCAGCCGCCACCGGCCACCUCCCAGCCCUCCUCCUCCGCCUCGUCGCCUCGCCACCUUGAGCUUGCAGCGAGCGCUCUGCUCUGGCGGCGGCGGUGGCCUCUUGUGGCGGAGCAGGAGGGGGCCUCUUGUGGCGGAGCAGGAGGGGGAAGACGGUGGCAGCGCGCCCUCUGGUGGCGGAGGAGGAGGAGGAGGGAGAUGGUGGCGGCUGCGCUUGUUCAGGGGCUCGCUCAAGGUGCUCGAGCCCGACAUCCAGCACGCCAACAACCUGGCCGCCCCGUGCCUCUUCCUCUUCCUCCUGCAGCGGACCGACUGCAGCCUCGCCGGCGCCCUCGGCCUCCUCAGGAUCCCCAUCUACAAGGCUACUCCCCCAAUGGUGAAAAUCCCCUACAGAAUGGUGCUGGAUGUCCUUUUAGAAUCUUUGGGCCUGCCAGCGGCUGAGUAUCGAACCAAAGCAUGCGAGGGUGGUUUGAAGUGUUCGUUCAAUUCAUGUGCUUGGGAUUUGUUUCGAUUGAUGGACCUCAAAGCUGAUGCAAUAAUGCAUGAACUUGCCAAAAGGAGGUUUAGCAGGUCUGACUUAUGGUCUAAGUUGAUGGUGUUUAGCAAUAUUGGUUCGAUCCAUGCAGAGGUCCUCGCCGUCGUUGCAGUGGCGGGACAAGACGGCGAGGAGCCUCCUCCUCCUCGCGGCGGCUGGCUGUUAAAUCUUUCGUUUUGUUUUCAUUUUGCCAAAGGUGAUUGGAUAAAGUUCUGUACUGAUAGUCCGAAACUUUGUGGUCGCCCAGGCUAUGCAGCCUUUAAUCAUAUUUAA
rnacentral:rRNA from 1 species